UACGGGGGGUGCGAGCGUUGUCCGGAUUCACUGGGCGUAAAGGGCGCGUAGGCGGCCGGGUCAGUCGGGCCUGUAAGUGCGGGGCUCAACCCCGUGAUGGGCUCGGGACGGCCCGGCUGGGGCGCGGUCGAGGGAGACGGAAUGCCGGGUGUAGCGGUGGAAUGCGUAGAGAUCCGGAGGAAGACCGGUGGCGAAGGCGGUCUGCUGGGCAGUUUCUGACACUGAGGCGCAACAGCGUGGGGAGCAAACAGG
rnacentral:rRNA from 1 species